GUUCUGAGCAACUAAAUGGCUUGCAGCAAUGUAGGUGUACAGCCUCACCCACAAUUUAUUGUAUUUCACUCUUAGCUGCUCCCUCAUGGCCUGCUGUCCCUCCCAGGUUGCCCAUUUACGUGGAGCGGGCAGCAGAUCCAGUUUUUAGUCUUUCCCUGGGAUGAAGGCAUUGGAAAGCUUACUACAAGAGAGAGAAAAAACACAGAAAUCGAAAGCCGUGUUAGAACAUUUUCAGUGACUUCUGGAACCGAGGUAGAGGAGAAAGGCAAGAUGUGCUCUACUGCAUCUACCCAGGACCUGGAUCGAAAUAGCAUCUUUGUUUCUGAAAA